rnacentral:tRNA from 1 species
GUGACUAUGGUGUAGUGGUAACACGACAGCUUGUGGAGCUGUUUUCGCCGGUUCGAGUCCGGCUAGUCACCCCA